UACGGGGGGAGCAAGCGUUGUUCGGAUUUACUGGGCGUAAAGGGUUCGUAGGCGGUGCGGCAAGUCGGUAGUGAAAUCUCCAGGCUUAACUUGGAGGCUGCUGCCGAAACUGCUGUGCUAGAGUGCAGAAGAGGAGAGUGGAAUUCCUGGUGUAGCGGUGAAAUGACGCAGAUAUCAGGAAGAACACCCGUGGCGAAGGCGGCUCUCUGGGACGGUACUGACGCUGAGACGCGAAAGCGUGGGGAGCGAACAGG
rnacentral:rRNA from 1 species